UGUCUCUUUCCUGCGAUCAGAAAAAAUAAAAAAAUCGGCUCUAUAUGAUUGCUUUUAUUCAACUGACAAUAUCACAAAUCUUGGAAGACCAGCUAUUUACCUCUAAAUAGCAUAAACUUCAAGGAGCGAGUGGUUAAGGCUGUUACGGUCUCUGUGAGGGAUACAUCGCCAAUGAACUGUACAACACUUUUUCCUUAGAAAGCAUGUCAGGCAACUCUGCAGGUCUGUUCUUCAGUGGUCAAGUGGGCAGAACUCUGGGGAGUGUUUUGAGGUUCUGAAGUAGGUUCAAAUGACCAUCAGUUGCAAGUGACCAAGUGCGCGCGCAGGUUUAUUUUUACUGUCAGAUGUACAACGCACUCACUCCCAGCCAUGGCAAUGCACAGGCAUCUUCAGCUGACGCCAUUCAACAGCAGCAGUAGUAGGCAUGCCAUGUAUGUUAGGUAAUGUUUGUUUAGGUUAAGUAUUGCUACACACAUAGCUUAGGCUAAGUAACGCUAGGUUAGAUUAAUGUCCUUAAGGUGGAUUCAGCAGGGGCAAAGGCCCCUGGUUAUGUAAUGCUACAUGUAGAUUAGGUUAGGUUAGGUAAUGCUACAUGUCUUUUAGAUUAGGUUAGGUUAGAUAUUGCCAGAUGUCAGGUAAUGCUAGAUUAGAUAAGUGUCCUUAAAAGGGGAUCCAAGGGAGUGUGUGCAUUGCCAUGGGUGGGAGUAAAUGAGCCAUACGUCUGGCAGUGAAAAUAGGGCUGCACAUGCACUUGGUCACUUAAAACUAGCUGGUCACUAAAACCUAUGACAGCACCUUGGAGAACUGAAGAAGACACCUUAUGUUGUAUGAUAUUUAAUGUUUCUGUGAUCUCCAUGUUUGAGUUAUGUUGUAAGUGCAUAGAAUGUGUUAUUUGUUAAAAUGUAUAUAUAUUAAGUUCAAUGUGUGUGAUUACUUUGUUGAGUGCUUUGUGAUUGUUCUGCUGCCUUUGCUUGGUGGUGGGGUUCUUCCCUAUUUCAGGUCAUUGCUGAUUUUUCUAAACAUUGCACCACCCUCUGCUCUUCUCGAUACUUCGUGUAAUUCUAUUUCGUUGUUUAUUAAGUGGUUAUAUAUUUGUCUGAAUAUGCGGCCUUUGUGAAAGUCCAUUUGUAGUGCAGCUGGUCUCAGUGGCUGCAUGGUAUUUAAGGCCACCCACUGCCUCCCUCAUGCAGUGUCAUGGCUUGUGACUGGUUGUUCUGCAGUGCCACUGUUCUCAUGCUGGGUAAGAAUUCCAAGGUUUCUGAUUGCAUGUUGAAGCUUGGCUCAUCUUCCUCGAGGAAUCUUCUUCAUUUCUCAUAAAGGCUUAGAUUUUUAGCUUCUUGAAGUUCUGCCCUUUUGACCACUGAAGAACAGAACAGAACAGUGGAGUUGCCUGCCAUGCUACCCAGGGAAAAAGUGUCGUACAAUUCAUUGGCAACGUGCCCCUCACAGAGACCGCAGCAGCAGUUUAUGCUAUUUAGAAGUGAAUAACUGAUCUUCCAGGACUUGUAAUAUUAGACGUCUUCUUCAGUUAUUCGCAAGUGCCUUAGAAACAGGCAUUUUCUGACGCAUUCCUUUCGUGUAAGUCUCUUGGGAGCUUCGGCCUUACAGCUACCUAGGGCCGCAAGCUUUCCAAGGGCUUGCGAUAACUGUGGGCGGGCAGCAAGGCAGAGCGAAAAACACAGCCACUUGCAAGCAGCAAUGCAAACAGGUGAAAAUAAGCUGAUGUACAUGUAAUGUUUUCAAUAAAAUUUCGAACAUACAGAAUUAUCUGCAUACAAGUCAGUCAUGAGUGAAAACCAUUAUUAAAUUUGUGUAGCGUGAAUUGUUUCAUAUAAAGUGAAUAGUAACAUUUGUUUACAAUGAGCAUGGAGCAGUCAAGCCUUCCAACGGCGUGCAGCAUUCUGGCAGGGCCUUCCUGUCUUGGGCCAUGACUUCUAACACAUCAUUGUUCAGUGUGGCUUGUAUUUGCACAGGUGAUGGAGUAAGGCAGGUCUGAAGAAGUGAUACAUGGGAUAGAAUGCUCCCUUAACAUGGCGGAAUCUGAACAGCAGGGCAAGGGAACCUGCUCUCGCCCCUGCGGAUGACGUGACCUGAACAGCUGCUAGACGUACUACCUACAUCACAGUUUCUUCUUGCUCCAUAAUCGCUAAUAAUAGACCAUAUUUCGUUAUACUAUAAUACUUAUAGUCUGUCUAGACAUAAUAAGAUAAUAAAUAGGGAUAUAUAAGAGAUGAAACACCCAAAACGCGGAAAUAGUUUGAAAAUAUCACCAAAGAGAUGCUUUGACAUUUCAUUUCAUAACUGCCGUAUGUACAGUGCCAAACAGCAAGUUUUACAGGUUAUAUUGGACAACAUCAGGCAUCAUUUUGAUCUGGAAUGUCUUCACCAGGCUACGACAUAUAACUAUAUGCCUGUUCUUUAAAUGAAACAGCCAUUAAACAAAAAUAACCAA